rnacentral:rRNA from 1 species
CCUACGGGAGGCAGCAGUGGGGAAUAUUGGACAAUGGGCGAAAGCCUGAUCCAGCAAUGCCGCGUGAGUGAUGAAGGCCUUCGGGUCGUAAAGCUCUUUUACCAGGGAUGAUAAUGACAGUACCUGGAGAAUAAGCUCCGGCUAACUCCGUGCCAGCAGCCGCGGUAAUACGGAGGGAGCUAGCGUUGUUCGGAAUUACUGGGCGUAAAGAGUACGUAGGCGGUUAUUCAAGUCAGAGGUGAAAGCCCGGGGCUCAACCCCGGAACUGCCUUUGAAACUAGAUAACUAGAGUCUUGGAGAGGUUAGUGGAAUUCCGAGUGUAGAGGUGAAAUUCGUAGAUAUUCGGAAGAACACCAGUGGCGAAGGCGACUAACUGGACAAGUACUGACGCUGAGGUACGAAAGCGUGGGGAGCAAACAGGAUUAGAUACCCUGGUAGUCCACGCCGUAAACGAUGAUAACUAGUUGUUCGGUCACUUGGUGACUGAGUGACGCAGCUAACGCAUUAAGUUAUCCGCCUGGGGAGUACGGUCGCAAGNUUAAAACNCAAAGAUUGACG